rnacentral:lncRNA from 1 species
AUGUCCCUAAAUGUUCUUAAACUGUCCCCAAAUGUCCCUGAUUGUCCUCAAACAUCCCCAAAUUGUCCCCAAAUGUCCCCAAAUAGUCCCCAAAUAUCCCUGACUGUCUCGAAAUGUCCCAAAUUGUCCCUAAACAUCCCCAAAUGUCCCAAAUUGUCCCGAAUUGCCCCCAAAUGUCCCCAAAUGUCCCAAAAUGUCCCCAAAUUGUCCCGAAUUUUCCCCGAAUUUGCAGCCCAGGCGACGGCGGCGUUCCAGGCGCGCCCCAAAUGUCCCAAAUUGUCUCUGACUGUCCCCAAAUGUCCCAAAUUGUCCCNNNNNNNNNNAAUUGUCCCAAAUUCUCCCCAAAUGUCCCUAAAUCUCCCGAAUUUUCCUGAAAUUUCCGCAGCCCAGGCGACGGCGGCGUUCCAGGCGCGCUUCGCCGACAUCUUCCCCACCAAGCUCUGCCUGCAGCUGAAGAUCCGCGAGAAACCGCCGUUCCUCUGGAGGGGCGUGGCCACGCGGACCGAACCAUUCCACGUGGGGGGGGCGCGGCACCAACCACUCAACGCCCCGCCCAUCUCACCGCUGAUUGGUCGGCACGUCAUCUCGCCGGCGCUGAUUGGCUGCGGCGGGGCUCUCGCGAGGUUUGGCCCCUGCUGGCUGCGCGGGCGGCCCCGUGCUCGGCCUCUUCCGGCGGCGGCGGCGGCGGCGAGAUGCCCGGGGUGACGGUGAAGGACGUGAACCAGCAGGAGUUCGUCAGGGCGCUGGCGGCGUUCCUGAAGAAGUGAGCGGGGACCGGGGGGAACCGGAGGGACCGGAGGGGAACCGGAGGGAGCGGGGAGGCAGCGGAGCGGCCGCGGAGGGGCUCAGCGGGGCUGGCGGGGCGGCUCGGGCGGUGCCGGUGCCGCUCCUGGUCCCGUCCCCGUUCCCAUUCCCGGUUCCCGUUCCCAUUCCCGGUUCCCGUUCCCAUUCCUGGUUCCUGUCCCCGUUCCCGGCUCGGUUGCCGUUCCCGUUUCCAUCCCCGUUCCCGUCCCCGGUCCCCAUUUCCCAUUCCCCGUCCCCGGUUCCCGUUCCCGUCCCGGUUUCCCAUUCCCCACUCCCAUUUCCCCGUUCCCCAUUCCCCGUCCCCGUUU